rnacentral:rRNA from 1 species
CGCUGGCGGCGUGCUUAACACAUGCAAGUCGAACGGGGAUAGCGUGGAAAGCUUCGGCCGGAAGAUGCUAUUCGAGUGGCGGACGGGUGAGUAACGCGUGAACAAUCCUGUCCCAGACAGGGGGAUAACACUUGGAAACAGGUGCUAAUACCGCAUGAGACCACGGUAUCGCAUGGUACAGGGGGUAAAAGGAGCAAUCCGGUUUGGGGUGAGUUCGCGUCCGAUUAGCCAGUUGGCGGGGUAACGGCCCACCAAAGCGACGAUCGGUAGCCGAUCUGAGAGGAUGACCGGCCACAUUGGAACUGAGAGACGGUCCAAACUCCUACGGGAGGCAGCAGUGGGGAAUAUUGGGCAAUGGGCGAAAGCCCUGACCCAGCAACGCCGCGUGAGUGAAGAAGGCCUUCGGGUUGUAAAGCUCUGUUAUAGGGGACGAAGGAAGUGACGGUACCCUAUAAGGAAGCCCCGGCUAACUACGUGCCAGCAGCAGC